rnacentral:rRNA from 1 species
UACGGGGGGGGUAAGCGUUGUUCGGAAUUACUGGGCGUAAAGGGCUCGUAGGCGGCCAACUAAGUCAUACGUGAAAUCCCUCAGCUUAACUGGGGAACUGCGUGUGAUACUGGAUGGCUUGGAUUUGGGAGAGGGAUGCGGAAUUCCAGGUGUAGCGGUGAAAUGCGUAGAUAUUGGGAGGAACACCGGUGGCGAAGGCGGCUACCUGGACCGGUUCUGACGCUGAUGCGCGAAAGCGUGGGUAGCGAACAGG